rnacentral:rRNA from 1 species
AGUUAACGCUGGCGGUAGGCCUAACACAUGCAAGUCGAACGGCAGCACAGUAAGAGCUUGCUCUUACGGGUGGCGAGUGGCGGACGGGUGAGGAAUACAUCGGAAUCUACUUUUUCGUGGGGGAUAACGUAGGGAAACUUACGCUAAUACCGCAUACGACCUACGGGUGAAAGCAGGGGAUCUUCGGACCUUGCGCUAUUGAAUGAGCCGAUGUCGGAUUAGCUAGUUGGCGGGGUAAAGGCCCACCAAGGCGACGAUCCGUAGCUGGUCUGAGAGGAUGAUCGGCCACACUGGAACUGAGACACGGUCCAGACUCCUACGGGAGGCAGCAGUGGGGAAUAUUGGACAAUGGGCGCAAGCCUGAUCCAGCCAUACCGCGUGGGUGAAGAAGGCCUUCGGGUUGUAAAGCCCUUUUGUUGGGAAAGAAAAGCAGCAGGUUAAUACCCCGCUGUUCUGACGGUACCCAAAGAAUAAGCACCGGCUAACUUCGUG